CUUUUAUGGAGAGUUUGAUCCUGGCUCAGGACGAACGCUGGCGGCGUGCCUAAUACAUGCAAGUCGAGCGGUUCCUUCGGGGAUAGCGGCGGACGGGUGAGUAACACGUAGGUAACCUGCCUU
rnacentral:rRNA from 1 species